CCUACGGGAGGCAGCAGUAAGGAAUAUUGGACAAUGCUCGCAAGAGUGAUCCAGCCAUGCCGCGUGCAGGAAGAAUGCCCUAUGGGUAGUAAACUGCUUUUGAACUAGAGAAAAUCCCAGUACGUGUACUGGGCUGAUAGUAUAGUUAGAAUAAGCAUCGGCUAACUUCGUGCCAGCAGCCGCGGUAAGACGAAGGAUGCAAGCGUUAUCCGGAUUCAUUGGGUUUAAAGGGAGCGUAGGUGGACUGAUAAGUCAGUGGUGAAAUCUCCGAGCUUAACUCGGAAAUUGCCAUUGAUACUGUUGGUCUUGAGUACAGUUGCUGUGGGCGGAAUAUGACAUGUAGUGGUGAAAUACAUAGAGAUGUCAUAGAACACCGAUUGCGAAGGCAGCUCACAAAGCUGUAACUGACACUGAGGCUCGAAAGUGCGGGGAUCAAACAGGAUUAGAUACCCUGGUAGUCCGCACCGUAAACGAUGAUUACUCGCUGCUAGGGGGCAACCUUUAGUGGCUUAGCGAAAGCGAUAAGUAAUCCACCUGGGGAGUACGCCGGCAACGGUGAAACGUCAAAUGAAUUGACGG
rnacentral:rRNA from 1 species